GGGCACGUGGUGUAGUGGUCAAACAUGGGACUCUGUCGAAGUCCAGACCGAGGGUUCGAAUCCCUUCGUGCCCGCCA
rnacentral:tRNA from 2 species